rnacentral:sRNA from 1 species
AAAAAGAGGAGACAGCUCUCUGUCUCCUCUCCUUGUGAGUUGCAACUAUUUAUCUCCUAGAAGCAACCAAUUACACUAUUUUUUAAAU